GAUGAAGACGAUUUUUCUUGGUGCGAAUGUUUCACUGGAUGUGUUUCAAUCUUUUACCCAUUUUCCGGUAUUCUUGGUUUCACUGGGUGCAUGAUUUUGGUGUCACGUGAUUUAGGGGAGUUUGACUGGGCGUUCUACGUUUGCUUGGCAGCGUCCAUUUAUAAUAUUCUACAGAUGUUUUACUUCUGCUGGUCCAUUUACCAAGCUCGACAUCUGAAAGAGGAAAAUACAGAUGAAGGCCCCACAGGAGUGUUAGUGAUGGAACAGCUCCAGAUCACACAAGUUACACACAUUUUCCAUAUUACAUAGAUAGUGAUGGAAAAGCUCCAGAUGACUCAAG